AAAGAAGCGCGCAGCCCGGGGCAGCAGCAAGUGCUCCUUUUUCGGUGCGCUGCUUUCCAACUCUGCUGCCCUUUGAGGCUUUUCCUAACAACCGCACCCAGAGGUCCCAGCGCGGGUCUCAGCAUCCCAGGCCUGGGAGCCCCGCACCACCGCGAGAAUCGCCGUCCCCUACCUGGGUGGAAAAUCUGCAGCGAGCCGGUCAGCAGCCGAACACCNNNNNNNNNNNNNNNNNNNNNAGACAGCUAUAUCAGGAUCCCUUCAGCAAAAUCUUGCUGGCAUAUGCAAUAGUGUCUGCAUUUGGUGGCUGAUUAUGGGAUGGACCCCCAGAGACAAAAAGACUCGGGACCAUUUCUCAUUGGCAGUAGCAGCAAAACACUGGAAAUUACUUUAAUGUUCAACAUGAGGGGAGUUUUGAAGUCAAUAGUGGCGUAUAGCUGCAUGUGACGAGACACUUUAAAGUGUGAAAUCACUUUCUGGAAGAUGAUUUAAUGGAGAGGAGAAUGUAUAUGAGAAAACACAGCCUCCGACCUGAGUCUACAGAGUAACUCCAAUAUGCAGAUGAAGAUGAGAGUUUCAUGCUUCAAGGAAAUGAUUUUAUACAAUUCCUCCAAAGUCUGGAGCAUAGGAUUUCAAUGUAGCCUCUCUACUGCCCUUCCAGGGGUCAGAUAGGCUUGCAAAUGUUUGAAGAGUAACACUGGCCACACAAAGUCAUCCAGACAGACUAGCAGAGUCUCAGAGAACAGAUGGCCAAUGAGAGAAU
rnacentral:lncRNA from 1 species